UCGAAAUCCUCAGUUAGUGGAGGAUACAAGUGAUGCGGGUAAUGAUGAAGAGUUGCUGGGCAUGGUGGGUCACACCUUUAAUCCCAGCAUUUGGGAGGCAGAGCCAGGUGGAUCUCUGUGACUUCUAGGCCAGCCAGGGCUACAGAGUGAGCCCCUGUCUCAAAACAACAGCAACAAAACAACAAUACAACAAAGGAAUAAGGAGAAGAGAAGUUAGAGUGGAGUUCCAGGUGGGACACUUGCCAGGCCGGCAUGAACUCCUGGGUCCAUCCCUAGAGCAGCAGCAGUGGGAAAGAAGAUGAUGGAGAUGGAAGAGAGGACCCAGAAGCAGAGAGGUGUACACAUGGGAAUAUGCACACACAUGUGAACAUGUACCUCAUAUACAACACCCACUGACAAAUUAAAAGAAAAAGUCUACCACAUGCGAGUUUCAUCCUGUGGAGAAAGGUGGUGCUGGAUUGCUAAAGGGCAGAUGUUAACAUCUACAAACUUUCCUAAGGAGUUUUCAUCUGCAGGGAUCCUAGUCUUCCUUUGACAUAGAGGGAAUUGUUCUCAGAAGGUCAGUAAGAACACGCAGACUGGGAGGCACGUACCAGAAGCACACAUUUGUGUGCUGAGGCUACAAAGAAGAAAGAAAGAAGGAUUCAGACCCGGUCCCAAAUUCCAAUAAUGGUUUGAAUGAACUUAUCCUUCAGGCUCAGAAGAUAAUUCCUGUAUUUAAAUGAGUAAUUGCCUUUGGAGCGCCUCACUUUCACAUUCUAUAGAAUUAAUUGUGAGUCCAAUCUUUAUUCCAGCUCAGAGGAGCCAUCCGGCCAUCUAUUGCGUCCCCUUGUAAUGGUCCCACUUAGCUAGACAGCACAUUACUGACCUCGGAAAACUCCGGGGUAGAGUGGGAUUGACGACGCUGGGGACCGGAAAUGUGAGCACGUACCUUUCCAUCAAACACCAUUUCAUAGCCUUCUCGGUUUUUUAUGAUAUUGUAUAAAUACUCUGCGAGCUCCAAACACUUGUCAAUGUGUGCUUCAAACCCAGUAGUCCCCUGGAAAAGAGAAGAAAAAGUGGGUGUGUGGGUCGCUCUCAGCUGGAAAUGGUGGAAUGAUUUGAGUACUCUGGAGACUGGUGGUCAGCCUGCCCUCUCCAGCUCUGCCGUGCUGAGAUGAGGCUGCUCCUGGAGGCUUUGCUGCUGACUGGUUCCCGUUUAACCCCCCGCCCCCACCCCCGGGUGCAUUUGUUCCUUUUCAUUACUGGGGCCUACAGCUGAUUCCUUUUGUUCCCAGGGUUUAGUCCCCCAGACAAUUAUUUUGAUUACUCAAGGGGAAAAUUUCCCUCUGCAGCUCAUAGAUGCAAUCAUGGAAGUCAUUAAUAACAGAAGGACUGCGCUAGUCUUUUUCUGUAGACAAGAGUGGGCUGUGAGGGACCCCCCACAUGCCUGCUUGGCCCCCACUCCUGUUGUAAAAUAGCCAUUCCCAAACUCUCUAUAUGCCUCAAUAAGAACAAACGGACGCUCACUGAAUGCCAGUUGAUCUUAGGAAGCCUGUUAUUCCGCCUAGCUUUCCGGUGUUGUCCUUUGUGAAGUGUGUGACUCAUGUGUUAGGUGACAUAUGAGUGAGCAUAUGGGUGAGUGUGCCACUGACGUCCUUUACUUCUGAGCUCCGGAAACCUCGGGUCUGGACAUAGGAAACACAGUACAACAGCCUUGGACAGGCGCUUGUUACCCAAUGUCUGGACACACUAAAGAACUGAUUUCCAAAAUGCCUUGUCUCCUUUAGUGCCUGUACUCAGUAAGGGUAAAUGGAAAUCUCAGAAAAGCAAUUACUGCUCUUGGAACUGAAAUGCCACCUACCCCAGCAUGGGAACCAGGUGAAGAAGCUCUAACUAUAAUGGAGAUAAGAUGGCUAUGCUCUCCUCUUUAUUCAGGGCCUUAUCAUCCCCCAGAGGGAAGCCCCAACACAGCCCAUGAAAAGAAUGUUCCAGGUCCUAAUUCCUGGGAGGGGGGAAUGUAAGAAAUAUUAGGCGUGGGUCAAACUGCAAGAGUAGGUCAGCCCUUGAGAACAAGGUGAAGGCGCCCGCUUUUCCCAGCCUUGAAAUAGAAGACCUCGGAGAGAGGUGAAACAGGGAAGGUCACCAGCUGCAUUACUUAAGAGCUUUUUCGAUUUGUUACACAAAGUUUCAAAUGUCUGAACAUCCAAAUGGAAAAAUUCUCCGUUUCACUUCCAACUUCAAGCUUCACUUUUUUUUUUUCAAGGUGAAAUGACAAAAGUUACCAAAAUAAUAAGUGCAGUCCCUCACCUAGACCAGAAGCAAGGAUAAUUAUCUCAUCUGAAGCCCCCUAGCCAUGCCUAUCGUGGGAGUCAACCCUUCCCUGCAAGAACCACCAUGGAAAAUGUGGCUAUGACGAUUACAUGGUUGUGAGACAAGAUCCAACUCUGAAGACAGGCUGCUCUCAAACCCACCCCACUCCUCUUGCCUUAGCUUACUGCGUGGAUGACAACCUUUCUUUCGUGUGAAUUGAGAGUGUAGCCAAAAUUAAACUAAGAUCACAAAGCAAAGCCAAAAUGUCCCCCAAAAGUUAUGAAGGUGGGAUUCGGACUUGGGUUUGUGGGGUGGGCGAGAUAAGAAAGGGUGGAGGGACAGUGUGACGAGGAUGCAUUAUAUGCAUGCAUGACACCUUCAAUGAAUAAACUGAUAAAAAUAUAAUCCUUGACCUUUGCUGACUCCUUACAUUUAGCAUGUCUGCCUCCAGAAGGCUGAGAAGAGGCCCUGCCUGUACUGUACCAACAGCUACAGAAAGUACUGGUAAAGGAAGGAUCACCUCUAGAAAACAUUUGAGAUACACAGAACUCUAAACUUCUAGAGUUUUAAAAAGUGUUUUCUCAUUGGGAGUUAUCCCUUGAAGAGUCCAAGACAAGCAAUCAUGGUAGGCAUUUUUCAGUCCUGUUUCAUUCUGUUAAUACACAAAUCUACCCAGGCGAUCGAUCAGUCAUCAAGAAGGAUCAUCAAUCAAGAUGGAGAGGAUGGCACAAAAUUAACCGCUUAAAAAAAUUAUGGCGCUCUGCCAGACGCAUCAAAUGGGUUUUUGAGUUGAGAGCUGGAGAAACUACUGGACUUGAGAAGGGACAAAGGAUGGGUCUAGUUGUGCUCCUGCCCAUGGAGAAUGUGGGUAUGCAGGUAUGGGAUCAAAGAGAAUUGCCCAAGUGAUUUUCCAUCUAGCAAUCACUUCUUUCUGUGGCUGUCAUUCAGCUGACCUGUGCUCACCUUUGC